GAUGAACGCUGGCGGCGUGCUUAACACAUGCAAGUCGAACGGAUAAGGCACCUUCGGGUGUGCAUAGAGUGGCGAACGGGUGAGUAACACGUGCCCAACCUGCCCCCCGCACCGGGAUACCCCCGGGAAACCGGGAUCAAUACCGGAUGACGCGGGAAGGCCGCAUGGCCUUCCCGCCAAAGCCCAGGCGGCGGGGGAUGGGGGCGCGGCCCAUCAGGUUGACGGCGGGGUGACGGCCCACCGUGCCUACUACGGGUAGCCGGGUUGAGAGACCGAUCGGCCACAUUGGGACUGAGAUACGGCCCAGACUCCUACGGGAGGCAGCAGUGGGGAAUUUUGCGCAAUGGGGGCAACCCUGACGCAGCCACGCCGCGUGCGGGACGAAGGCCUUCGGGUUGUAAACCGCUUUCAGCAGGGAAGACCAUGACGGUACCUGCAGAAGAAGCCCCGGCUAACUACGUGCCAGCCGCCGCGGUAAUAC
rnacentral:rRNA from 1 species